rnacentral:tRNA from 1 species
UCCCUGGUGGCUCAGACAGUAAUGCAUCUGCCUGCAAUGCAGGAGACCUGGGUUCGAUCCCUAGGUUGGGAA